AUUGAACGCUGGCGGCAGGCCUAACACAUGCACGUCGAACGAGUGGCGGACGGGUGAGUAAUGACUGGGAAACUGCCUGAUGGAGGGGGAUAACUACUGGAAACGGUAGCUAAUACCGCAUACCAUCAGAUGUGCCCAGAUGGGCUUAGCUUGGUGGUGGGGUAACGGAUCACAAAGGCGACGAUCCCUCGCGGGUCUGAGCGGAUGACCAGCCACACUGGAACUGAGACACUGUCCAGACUCCUACGGGAGGCAGCAGUGGGUAAUAUUGCACAAUGGGCGCAAGCCUGAUGCAGCCAUGCCGCGUGUAUGAAGAAGGCCUUCGGGUUGUAAAGUACUUUCAGCGGGGAGGCGUUACCCGCAGAAGAAGCACCGGCUAACGCCGUGCCAGCAGCCGCGGUAAUUC
rnacentral:rRNA from 1 species